rnacentral:rRNA from 1 species
GACGAACGCUGGCGGCGUGCCUAAUACAUGCAAGUAGAACGCACAGUUUAUACCGUAGCUUGCUACACCAUAGACUGUGAGUUGCGAACGGGUGAGUAACGCGUAGGUAACCUGCCUGGUAGCGGGGGAUAACUAUUGGAAACGAUAGCUAAUACCGCAUAAUAUUAAUUAUUGCAUGAUAAUUAAUUGAAAGGUGCAAUUGCACCACUACCAGACGUAUCUGCGUUGUAUUAGCUAGUAGGUGAGGUAACGGCUCACCUAGGCGACGAUACAUAGCAGACCUGAGAGGGUGAUCGGCCACACUGGGACUGAGACACGGCCCAGACUCCUACGGGAGGCAGCAGUAGGGAAUCUUCGGCAAUGGACGAAAGUCUGACCGAGCAACGCCGCGUGAGUGAAGAAGGUUUUCGGAUCGUAAAGCUCUGUUGUAAGAGAAGAACGGGUGUGAGAGUGGAAAGUUCACACUGUGACGGUAUCUUACCAGAAAGGGACGGCUAACUACGUG